rnacentral:rRNA from 1 species
UUAAGCGACUAAGCGUACACGGUGGAUGCCCUGGCAGUCAGAGGCGAUGAAGGACGUGCUAAUCUGCGAUAAGCGUCGGUAAGGUGAUAUGAACCGUUAUAACCGGCGAUUUCCGAAUGGGGAAACCCAGUGUGUUUCGACACACUAUCAUUAACUGAAUCCAUAGGUUAAUGAGGCGAACCGGGGGAACUGAAACAUCUAAGUACCCCGAGGAAAAGAAAUCAACCGAGAUUCCCCCAGUAGCGGCGAGCGAACGGGGAGGAGCCCAGAGCCUGAAUCAGUGUGUGUGUUAGUGGAAGCGUCUGGAAAGGCGCGCGAUACAGGGUGACAGCCCCGUACACAAAAAUGCACAUGCUGUGAGCUCGAUGAGUAGGGCGGGACACGUGGUAUCCUGUCUGAAUAUGGGGGGACCAUCCUCCAAGGCUAAAUACUCCUGACUGACCGAUAGUGAACCAGUACCGUGAGGGAAAGGCGAAAAGAACCCCGGCGAGGGGAGUGAAAAAGAACCUGAAACCGUGUACGUACAAGCAGUGGGAGCACAGAGCAAUCUGUGUGACUGCGUACCUUUUGUAUAAUGGGUCAGCGACUUAUAUUCUGUAGCAAGGUUAACCGAAUAGGGGAGCCGAAGGGAAACCGAGUCUUAACCGGGCGUUAAGUUGCAGGGUAUAGACCCGAAACCCGGUGAUCUAGCCAUGGGCAGGUUGAAGGUUGGGUAACACUAACUGGAGGACCGAACCGACUAAUGUUGAAAAAUUAGCGGAUGACUUGUGGCUGGGGGUGAAAGGCCAAUCAAACCGGGAGAUAGCUGGUUCUCCCCGAAAGCUAUUUAGGUAGCGCCUCGUGAAUUCAUCUCCGGGGGUAGAGCACUGUUUCGGCAAGGGGGUCAUCCCGACUUACCAACCCGAUGCAAACUGCGAAUACCGGAGAAUGUUAUCACGGGAGACACACGGCGGGUGCUAACGUCCGUCGUGAAGAGGGAAACAACCCAGACCGCCAGCUAAGGUCCCAAAGUCAUGGUUAAGUGGGAAACGAUGUGGGAAGGCCCAGACAGCCAGGAUGUUGGCUUAGAAGCAGCCAUCAUUUAAAGAAAGCGUAAUAGCUCACUGGUCGAGUCGGCCUGCGCGGAAGAUGUAACGGGGCUAAACCAUGCACCGAAGCUGCGGCAGCGACACUGUGUGUUGUUGGGUAGGGGAGCGUUCUGUAAGCCUGUGAAGGUGUGCUGUGAGGCAUGCUGGAGGUAUCAGAAGUGCGAAUGCUGACAUAAGUAACGAUAAAGCGGGUGAAAAGCCCGCUCGCCGGAAGACCAAGGGUUCCUGUCCAACGUUAAUCGGGGCAGGGUGAGUCGACCCCUAAGGCGAGGCCGAAAGGCGUAGUCGAUGGGAAACAGGUUAAUAUUCCUGUACUUGGUGUUACUGCGAAGGGGGGACGGAGAAGGCUAUGUUGGCCGGGCGACGGUUGUCCCGGUUUAAGCGUGUAGGCUGGUUUUCCAGGCAAAUCCGGAAAAUCAAGGCUGAGGCGUGAUGACGAGGCACUACGGUGCUGAAGCAACAAAUGCCCUGCUUCCAGGAAAAGCCUCUAAGCAUCAGGUAACAUCAAAUCGUACCCCAAACCGACACAGGUGGUCAGGUAGAGAAUACCAAGGCGCUUGAGAGAACUCGGGUGAAGGAACUAGGCAAAAUGGUGCCGUAACUUCGGGAGAAGGCACGCUGAUAUGUAGGUGAAGUCCCUCGCGGAUGGAGCUGAAAUCAGUCGAAGAUACCAGCUGGCUGCAACUGUUUAUUAAAAACACAGCACUGUGCAAACACGAAAGUGGACGUAUACGGUGUGACGCCUGCCCGGUGCCGGAAGGUUAAUUGAUGGGGUCAGCGCAAGCGAAGCUCUUGAUCGAAGCCCCGGUAAACGGCGGCCGUAACUAUAACGGUCCUAAGGUAGCGAAAUUCCUUGUCGGGUAAGUUCCGACCUGCACGAAUGGCGUAAUGAUGGCCAGGCUGUCUCCACCCGAGACUCAGUGAAAUUGAACUCGCUGUGAAGAUGCAGUGUACCCGCGGCAAGACGGAAAGACCCCGUGAACCUUUACUAUAGCUUGACACUGAACAUUGAGCCUUGAUGUGUAGGAUAGGUGGGAGGCUUUGAAGUGUGGACGCCAGUCUGCAUGGAGCCGACCUUGAAAUACCACCCUUUAAUGUUUGAUGUUCUAACGUGGACCCGUGAUCCGGGUUGCGGACAGUGUCUGGUGGGUAGUUUGACUGGGGCGGUCUCCUCCUAAAGAGUAACGGAGGAGCACGAAGGUUGGCUAAUCCUGGUCGGACAUCAGGAGGUUAGUGCAAUGGCAUAAGCCAGCUUGACUGCGAGCGUGACGGCGCGAGCAGGUGCGAAAGCAGGUCAUAGUGAUCCGGUGGUUCUGAAUGGAAGGGCCAUCGCUCAACGGAUAAAAGGUACUCCGGGGAUAACAGGCUGAUACCGCCCAAGAGUUCAUAUCGACGGCGGUGUUUGGCACCUCGAUGUCGGCUCAUCACAUCCUGGGGCUGAAGUAGGUCCCAAGGGUAUGGCUGUUCGCCAUUUAAAGUGGUACGCGAGCUGGGUUUAGAACGUCGUGAGACAGUUCGGUCCCUAUCUGCCGUGGGCGCUGGAGAACUGAGGGGGGCUGCUCCUAGUACGAGAGGACCGGAGUGGACGCAUCACUGGUGUUCGGGUUGUCAUGCCAAUGGCACUGCCCGGUAGCUAAAUGCGGAAGAGAUAAGUGCUGAAAGCAUCUAAGCACGAAACUUGCCCCGAGAUGAGUUCUCCCUGACCCUUUAAGGGUCCUGAAGGAACGUUGAAGACGACGACGUUGAUAGGCCGGGUGUGUAAGCGCAGCGAUGCGUUGAGCUAACCGGUACUAAUGAACCGUGAGGCUUAACCUU